CUUCAAGACCGGCGAUGACUCUGCCACAUCGAUUCACAGGAAGUUGCUCCCUGUUUGUGGGGAGGACAAAGUGGAUCGCAGCAGUAUCCAGUGGUGGUUGCAGAGGUUUAUAGAAGGGAUAAGGGACUUAACAGCAAGAUCAUCAGUUCCUCGGUCAAGGAUUCAUUCAUGCAGCUGUGCUCUGAUGAGGGAAGUAUGUGCAAGUAGUAAAAGCAAGGCACUGAAGACAAUACUGAUACUGGAGCUAAAAAAAUGAUUUAUGAACCCUGACCAACAUGAUCAAAGGCAAAGACAGGUACAGAGUAUUGAAUGGCUUCAAGAGAUCCAUAACAGUAAAUGGGAAAAGGUUAAAAACGUAAUGGACUUUAGUUGGACCAUAAAU